GAUGAACGCUGGCGGCGUGCCUAAUACAUGCAAGUCGAGCGAACAGAUGAGGAGCUUGCUCCUCUGACGUUAGCGGCGGACGGGUGAGUAACACGUGGAUAACCUACCUAUAAGACUGGGAUAACUUCGGGAAACCGUAGCUAAUACCGGAUAAUAUAUUGAACCGCAUGGUUCAAAAGUGAAAGACGGUUUUGCUGUCACUUAUAGAUGGAUCCGCGCCGCAUUAGCUAGUUGGUAAGGUAACGGCUUACCAAGGCAACGAUGCAUAGCCGACCUGAGAGGGUGAUCGGCCACACUGGAACUGAGACACGGUCCAGACUCCUACGGGAGGCAGCAGUAGGGAAUCUUCCGCAAUGGGCGAAAGCCUGACGGAGCAACGCCGCGUGAGUGAUGAAGGUCUUCGGAUCGUAAAACUCUGUUAUUAGGGAAGAACAAAUGUGUAAGUAACUAUGCACAUCUUGACGGUACCUAAUCAGAAAGCCACGGCUAACUACGUG
rnacentral:rRNA from 1 species